AUGGGAUUAUUACACAUAACUGUUUUCUCUUUUUACAUUAUUUUGUAUAGUUUUCAUUUUCACGACGGUGUUCUCCUACUAGAACGUCAGUCUCUUUGUACAAAAAUAUUUGUUAAAAUUGAAUAUGAUUAUUGUUCACAAUACUUGCAUAAAAAAACAAAAAGACAGUUACAAAUGACUUUAAGAAAUGGGGCAAAGUCUAAAAAAGCAAUUUGUAGUCCCAAUUGUUACUCUUUCUAG